rnacentral:rRNA from 1 species
UGCACACACCGCCCGUCGCUACUACCGAUUGAAUGGCUCAGUGAGGCCUUCGGACUGGCUCAGGAGGGUUGGCAACGACCCCCCAGAGCCGGAAGUUGGUCAAACUCGGUCAUUUAGAGGAAGUAAAAGUCGUAACAAGGUUUCCGUAGGUGAACCUGCGGAAGGAUCAUUACCGAGUGAGGGCCCCUGGGUCCAACCUCCCACCCGUGUUUAUCGUACCUUGUUGCUUCGGCGGGCCCGCCUCACGGCCGCCGGGGGGCAUCCGCCCCCGGGCCCGCGCCCGCCGAAGACACACAAACGAACUCUUGUCUGAAGAUUGCAGUCUGAGUACUUGACUAAAUCAGUUAAAACUUUCAACAACGGAUCUCUUGGUUCCGGCAUCGAUGAAGAACGCAGCGAAAUGCGAUAAGUAAUGUGAAUUGCAGAAUUCAGUGAGUCAUCGAGUCUUUGAACGCACAUUGCGCCCCCUGGUAUUCCGGGGGGCAUGCCUGUCCGAGCGUCAUUGCUGCCCUCAAGCACGGCUUGUGUGUUGGGCUCUCGCCCCCCGCUUCCGGGGGGCGGGCCCGAAAGGCAGCGGCGGCACCGCGUCCGGUCCUCGAGCGUAUGGGGCUUCGUCACCCGCUCUGUAGGCCCGGCCGGCGCCCGCCGGCGAACACCAUCAAUCUUAACCAGGUUGACCUCGGAUCAGGUAGGGAUACCCGCUGAACUUAAGCAUAU